rnacentral:rRNA from 1 species
UAACGCGUGAGGAACCUGCCUCAAAGAGGGGGACAACAAGUUGGAAACGACUGCUAAUACCGCAUAAGCCCACAGCUCGGCAUCGAGCAGAGGGAAAAGGAGUGAUCCGCUUUGAGAUGGCCUCGCGUCCGAUUAGCUAGUUGGUGAGGUAGUGGCCCACCAAGGCGACGAUCGGUAGCCGGACUGAGAGGUUGAACGGCCACAUUGGGACUGAGACACGGCCCAG